rnacentral:rRNA from 1 species
UACGUAGGAUGCGAGCGUUAUCCGGAUUUAUUGGGUUUAAAGGGUGCGCAGGCGGUCUGUUAAGUCAGCGGUCAAAUCGUGGGGCUCAACCCCAUCCAGCCGUUGAAACUGGGUGCCUUGAGUGGGCGAGAAGUAUGCGGAAUGCGUGGUGUAGCGGUGAAAUGCAUAGAUAUCACGCAGAACCCCGAUUGCGAAGGCAGCAUACCGGCGCACAACUGACGCUCAGGCACGAAAGCGUGGGUAUCGAACAGG